AUUUGUUUGAAAUGGUAGAGAUAAUGGCCAUGGUUUAAGACUUUGAGUGCCUUUGUAGCGAAAAGUUUUCAGGGAUGGUUGAGCAUGAACUGUUCCAUCAUUUAUCUGGUUUUUUAAAAAUAUUAGCCACCAUUCCUUAUACUCGAUAGAUAUGUAUGAUUACUUGUUCCAAAUUAUAGGUAAUUAAAAGUUUCUGGGAAUAGACCUCUGGGGACAGGGUGAAUAUUCUACUGUUUUUCUUUCAUUUAAUGAUUACAAAUCUGUAGAAAAAUUAUCUUGGGCUACAAGUGAACCAAGGUGGAUUCCUGUGAACCAGUAGACAUGAUUCAUGACAUUACAACACUCCAACAUUCCGUUUAAACAACUUGUCUUUGCAUUGAAAAUUGAUGGCGACAAUCUCCUUUACUGGAUGCAAUGGAGAUGGUUUCUAGGUGCUAGGGCUGAAACUAAAGGGUCGGAGUAGUUUUGGGUGAAGUCUACAUGAAAUAAAGCUUGUUAUGAAGCCAUCAAGAGAACCGAGGAGGAAAGGGACCUGUGGGUGUUAGGAGGGGCCACAAACUUAGAUCUCUUAACAGCCCCAAUCCCAGGUCUUUAGGUCAAAGUAGUUUCUGCUUCCUUUUAUUUAUAGAUGUAUUUUUGUUUCUUUGUUUUCGACCACCGUAAUGGGGGUCUUCCUGUACUGAUCCAUUUUGGAUCCUUUUUCUCUUCCUUCUUAAUGAAAAGAUGCGCAUGUCUCUUGCGCGUUCGAGAAAAAAAAAGCUUGUUAUAUAUUUUUUUUCUCGAACAUGCACGAGAGUUGUGUAUCAUUAUAUUAAUGAGAGUAAAGGAUUGACUUUGGAAACCCCAUACAGCCACACACAUACACACCCUUUUACAUCAAAUGUUGUAUCUCUCUCUCACUUGUCAAACUUGACCCAAGACCACUAGAGAGGAAUUCACACAUUGGCUGACUCUCGAGCAAGGAGAUUGGAUAUUCCCUGAGCUCCGACCAAACUCCACAGGUGAAACUCAUCUUUUACCGAACUAGAACCAUAGUUGUUAAGGCGUCGCCUAGGCGGUAAGGCGCCCCAGCGACGUAAGGCGUCCUGCUCGCCUUACUCGUGCACCUAAGGCGAGUGGGAGAGAGGUUGCUCGCGGCUGGCAGCGCGGCGGUGGCUCCAGCGGCUGUAGUGGCGCGGCGGUGCCGGCACAGGAUAGAGGGAGAAGCGAGUAGAGAGAGAGAGAGAGCGGUGAGAGAGAGGAAGUGGGCUUAACCUAAUUUUAAGGGGAUAGUUGGGCUGGCUGGGCUAGUCUUUUUCUUAUUUUUAUCAUCUUUUUCUCUUCUUUAUUAUUAUUAUUUUUGUGCUAAAUACUUUCUCAAAUAGCAAUAUUUUUAUAUUUUUAAAUAUAUUUAAUGUGUCACAUUGUCUUAUGCUUUACCGCUUAAAAGGUAAAAGGAGGUCAGUCGCCUUACCGCCUUAACAACUAUGACUAGAACUCUAUUUAGGCUCGGUUGAAUCCCAUCAAACACAACGAUUGUGGUGAUUCCAACUGGACCAAGUUCCCAGAAUGAUGAUGUUACUGAGACCUUUUUUAGUCUGGUCAUCAACACCAGAAUUUGUGCUUGCCCACCAUGCAUCAAAGGAGCUGGGGGGAGAGGUCCUGCAGGCCAACCUUAUAUAGAAUGUUUACCACACUUGCCGACGGAAGACACAUGAGACCAGUAGAUGGUCAAUUGUUUCCUCAGCUUGAUCACAAAGCGGGCAGCAUUCAGGGUGGGGCAGACCUUUAUUUAGAAAGACGGUCUGCUGUUCAGCGCCUAUUGUGUGCCACUAACCACAUGAAGAAGUUGCUAUGUUAUGACUGUUGUAUGAUGCAAAGGGUCAACAUCAAAUGAUCUGCAUCACAUUUUAGUAGACAAUGGUAUAGGGAUUUAAUGAAAUGAUUGAGACUA